rnacentral:rRNA from 1 species
GACGAACGCUGGCGGCGUGCUUAACACAUGCAAGUCGAACGAAGUGGCGAACGGGUGAGUAACGCGUAAUCAACCUGCCCUUCAGAGGGGGACAACAGGUGGAAACGACUGCUAAUACCGCAUACUGAAGGAGGGGAUUGGGUCUGAUUAGCUAGUUGGCGGGGUAACGGCCCACCAAGGCGAUGAUCAGUAGCCGGGCUGGGGGGAUGAACGGCCACAGUGGGACUGGGACACGGCCCAGACUCCUACGGGAGGGAGCAGUGGGGAAUCUUCCGAAAUUGACGAAAAUCUGACGGAGCAACGCCGCGUGAGUGAUGACGGCCUUCGGGUUUUAAAGCUCUGUUAAUCGGGACGCGGUACCGGAAUAGAAAGCCACGGCUAACUACGUGCCAGCAGCCGCGGUAAUUC